rnacentral:rRNA from 1 species
GCACUGAAUGGAUUAAUUAUUCUUAGCUUAUUUAUAUAUUUAUUGUAAGUACUUUUAAGUCCCUCUUAUAGAAAAUUUUAAAUCUUCUAACCGAAAAAAGUUUUUAUUGUAACUCGCCUUAUUUCUUAUUUAUUUGCUGCACUUUGAUUUGUAUUAAGUUUUAUUUAAAAUUUUGAAUUUACCUUUAGGUGAAUUCACGACAACGGUAUACAAGCUUUAGUAAAUAAGUAUAAUAUUCUUGGUGAUUAUCAAUUACAUGGUAAGUUCCCCUAAAAUACUACAUUCAGCCGCCAUAAUAUUUAAGUUUGGGCUUGAUAAUAAACAUUAAUUCUUGUUUUAAAUGUAUUAAUCUCCUUAUAGUUGGGUAUCUAAUCCAGGUUUAAUUUCUGGAGGUUACUAUAAGAAUAACAUAGUUAGUUUAUAAAAUGUAAUAAUAUUUCACUAUAUAUUAAAUUUUUGUGUGCUUAAACGAUUUAAACAAUUGCUAUAAAUCUGCCUAAUAGGUAUGACCGCGGUUGCUGGCACCUAAUAAACCUAGGCUGAAUAAUUAUCUAAAUUUAAAUUUCUUUAAUAGUUUAAAAUUUUUAACUGGACUAAAUGUUUACAUUCCAUAUUAAAUUAUAUUAUAAAUUUAUAGAGCCAUCAUAUUAAAGUGGUUGGUCUAAGGGGGUUAUUUACCAUUUUAGA